UGGAACUCAAGAGAGAUCCACCUGCUUCUG
rnacentral:piRNA from 1 species